AGUGAACGCUGGCGGUAGGCCUAACACAUGCAAGUCGAACGGCAGCACAGUAAGAGCUUGCUCUUACGGGUGGCGAGUGGCGGACGGGUGAGGAAUACAUCGGAAUCUACUUUUUCGUGGGGGAUAACGUAGGGAAACUUACGCUAAUACCGCAUACGACCUACGGGUGAAAGCAGGGGAGCUUCGGACCUUGCGCGAUUGAAUGAGCCGAUGUCGGAUUAGCUAGUUGGCGGGGGAAAGGCCCACCAAGGCGACGAUCCGUAGCUGGUCUGAGAGGAUGAUCAGCCACACUGGAACUGAGACACGGUCCAGACUCCUACGGGAGGCAGCAGUGGGGAAUAUUGGACAAAGGGCGCAAGCCUGAUCCAGCCAUACCGCGUGGGUGAAGAAGGCCUUCGGGUUGUAAAGCCCUUUUGUUGGGAAAGAAAAGCAGCAGGUUAAUACCCCGCUGUUCUGACGGUACCCAAAGAAUAAGCACCGGCUAACUUCGUG
rnacentral:rRNA from 1 species